rnacentral:lncRNA from 1 species
AGCUGUGGGCAGGGAGCCGGGCUCGGCCGCCAGCACUAAAGAUGGAGAGGCGCCGGGGCCUCGCAGGGGAGGGGGCUCGGCGUUGACGUGGGACGCGGCGGAGGCGCCGCAGCCGGUGGUGAUUUGCUAACCUCGCAGUAGAGAGGAGUUGAGGGCGAUGAGAGCGGGUACUGCGAACUGCCGGGCGAUGCCGCCGCUGCCGCCUUGAUACCGAGAGCAACAGUUCCCCAGCAACACCCCCCUCCCCGACACAGGCACACCCCCCGAGGAGGCACGCACACCCACCCCACGGCGCCCGGCUCGGCAGCGCCCAGGAAAUCCACCCUGCCCCACCACGCAGAGCCAGGAAGGAAAGAGAGCCUCAUGCCUAAGCCUCGGGGAGCACCAUGGAUCUGACAAAGAUGGGCAUGAUCCAGCUGCAGAACCCCAGCCACCCCACGGGGCUCCUGUGCAAGGCCAACCAGAUGCGGCUGGCCGGGACGCUGUGCGAUGUGGUCAUCAUGGUGGACAGCCAGGAGUUCCAUGCCCACCGGACCGUGCUGGCCUGCACCAGCAAGAUGUUUGAGAUCCUCUUCCACCGCAACAGCCAGCACUAUACUCUGGACUUCCUCUCUCCAAAGACCUUCCAGCAGAUUCUGGAGUAUGCAUACACGGCCACGCUGCAAGCCAAGGCGGAAGACCUGGAUGACCUGCUGUAUGCAGCUGAGAUCCUGGAGAUUGAGUACCUGGAGGAGCAGUGCCUGAAGAUCCUGGAGACCAUCCAAGCCUCAGACGACAAUGACACGGAGGCCACCAUGGCGGAUGGCGGGGCCGAGGAAGAAGAGGACCGCAAGGCUCGGUAUCUCAAGAACAUCUUCAUCUCGAAGCAUUCCAGCGAGGAGAGUGGGUAUGCCAGUGUGGCUGCCCAGAGCCUCCCUGGGCCCAUGGUGGACCAGAGCCCUUCUGUCUCCACCUCGUUUGGUCUUUCAGCCAUGAGUCCCACCAAGGCGGCGGUGGACAGUUUGAUGACCAUAGGGCAAUCUCUCCUGCAGGGGGCUCUUCAGCCUCCUGCUGGGCCUGAGGAGCCGACUCUGGCGGGGGGAGGUCGGCACCCUGCGGUGGCCGAGGUGAAGCCGGAGAUGAUGCAGGUGGAUGAGGUGCCCGGCCAGGACAGCCCUGGUGCAGCGGAGUCUAGCAUCUCGGCUGGGAUGGGGGACAAGGUUGAGGAAAGGGGGAAGGAGGGGCCCGGAACCCCAACUCGGAGCAGCGUCAUCACCAGCGCUCGGGAGCUGCACUAUGGACGCGAGGAGAGUGCUGAGCAGCUGCCCCCUCCCACCGAGGCUGGCCAGGGCCCCCCAGGCCGACCAGAGCCCCCCGCGCCCCCAGCCGAGAAGCACCUGGGCAUCUACUCCGUGUUGCCCAACCACAAGGCCGAUGCCGUGUUGAGCAUGCCGUCCUCGGUGACCUCGGGCCUCCACGUGCAGCCCACCCUGGCUGUCUCCAUGGACUUUAGCACCUAUGGGGGUCUGCUGCCCCAGGGCUUCAUCCAGAGGGAGCUAUUCAGCAAGCUGGGGGAGCUGGCCGUGGGCAUGAAGUCGGAGAGUCGCAGCGUCGGGGAGCAGUGCAGCGUGUGCGGGGUGGAGCUUCCUGACAACGAGGCAGUGGAGCAGCACAGGAAGCUGCACAGUGGGAUGAAGACGUACGGGUGUGAGCUCUGCGGAAAGCGGUUCCUGGAUAGUUUGCGACUGAGAAUGCACUUACUGGCUCAUUCAGGGUAAAACCAAGAGAUACCCAAGAAGGAAACUUCCCAGGUCUCCUCCGUCUCCCUCAGCAUCCCUGCCGAGGGGUGUUGUUUACAGCAAGUGACAGGUCCUGUGAUGGUGUUGGGUGCCAUGCUGGCUCCAGGGCCAUUAAAGUUCCCCCAUCUCUGCACCUCAGUAUGGCUGGAUGUGUGUGUGCCUGGGUCCCCCAGCCCUGAAGAUGUCACAUCAGACCCGCCGAAGAGAGAAAGUUCAGAGAGUUCAUUGCAGCGGGUGCCAAAGCCUUUGUCUGUGAUCAGUGCGGUGCCCAGUUUUCGAAGGAGGAUGCCCUGGAGACACACAGGCAGACCCAUACCGGCACGGACAUGGCUGUCUUCUGUCUGCUGUGCGGGAAGCGUUUCCAGGCCCAGAGCGCGCUCCAGCAGCACAUGGAAGUCCACGCGGGCGUACGCAGCUACAUCUGCAGCGAGUGCAACCGCACCUUCCCCAGCCACACCGCCCUCAAACGCCACCUGCGCUCACAUACAGGUGACCACCCGUAUGAGUGUGAGUUCUGUGGCAGCUGCUUCCGGGAUGAGAGCACACUCAAGAGCCACAAGCGCAUCCACACGGGCGAGAAACCCUACGAGUGCAAUGGCUGUGGCAAGAAGUUCAGCCUCAAGCACCAGCUGGAGACGCACUAUCGAGUGCAUACAGGAGAGAAGCCCUUCGAGUGUAAGCUGUGCCACCAGCGCUCCCGGGACUACUCGGCCAUGAUCAAGCACCUGCGGACCCACAACGGCGCCUCGCCCUACCAGUGCACCAUCUGCACGGAGUACUGCCCCAGCCUGUCCUCCAUGCAGAAGCACAUGAAGGGCCACAAGCCCGAGGAGAUCCCGCCCGACUGGAGGAUAGAGAAGACGUACCUCUACCUGUGUUACGUGUGAGGCCAGCCUGCGGCCAUGGCGGGGGAGCAGGAGAAGCGUUAGAGCAGGAUGACGUCCAGAAGGACUGUGCAAAAACCACCACAAAAAACAAAAAGCAAACAAAAAAAGAAAGAAAAAGAGAGAGAAGGACAAGGGAACCUGGGGGCUGUCUGGCUCUGGAUUCCCUCUGGGGCUCCAGGUGACCUGGCUGCCUGGCCGAGCCCCCUGCCACCCGAGGGCCCGGCCCUCCUUUCCCAGCUGGAGGUCGGCCGGCUCUUCUUGGGUGGGGGGUGGGGGGGAUUUUGUUCAGCUCAGAUGGUGGGAUGUUUUUCUCUUCCUUCCACUCAGAUCCUCCUUUUGUGUCCAGAGUUGGCGUCCAGGCGGGGAGGGAAGGAUUCUCCGGUCGGAGUCAAACCAUCUUUGCCUGCCGUCCUCUCACGACUCCUGGGAAGACGGGGCUGAGGAACGGGUGGGGUGGGAGGUUGCGGAGAGGGGGCCUGCAGGCGGUGGGGCUGGGCUGGGUCGCUGGUUGAUGCUCACAAAGGCAGCUCUGGUUUGCUGGGGGCAGACAGGGGCAGGGAGGGGCGCCUCUACGCUUCCCCCGCUCCAUCCAUUGUUGGCUCUCCUCCACUCAGCCAUGCAGGGUGGCCCCUCCUGGUCUUCAGGGCCCUCUCCCCCAAUCCUGUGGCCCCCUGGCUCCCCUCCUCGCCCCUCCCUUGUGGACCAGGGGUGUCUCCCUCCUCCCAGUUGGGAAGCUGUGAGACUCCAGAGCCCCUGCCGGCACUCGUGGCUUUCUGAGAACGUGGACGAAGUCAGUGGAAGAGCCCACCCCGUCCAGCCCUGUCCUGAGCGAGAUUCCUGCUGAGCUGCUUCUGCUUCUAGAGUGGAAAAAAGGAGCAACUUGAUACACACCGUCCCACCAAACACACGCAAAUCCCUACAGCCCUCCUCAGCCCCCCGGAGGAGGAAUCCGUGAAAGGGUGUGUUGCCCACGAGGGCCUGGGUGUUCCUCCAGAGGCACCUACACCGGGCGGGGACACCUGCCCUGGGAGGGAGGUGGGGAGUUGUGCUGGGGACCUUCGAACACGUGGGCCCCCGACCUGGUGAGCUCUGUGGGAAAACCCAGGUCCAGAGGGGCACAGGAUUCCUGGCUCCCAGGGCACCCCCAGUCCACAGGGAGACGGAGGAGGAGGUGGAGGUGUUGAAAGCGCUUUGCCUUGCGUUAUGUUUUGCUUCUUUUCUGUGUCCUCUGUUCACCUGUUAGCACAUUGUACUUGAAUUACCUCAGUUUUUUGUGACCUCAUGAGCUUUUUUGACCCCUGUAUCUCUUUUUUGGUUGGGGGUUGGAGGAAUGGGGAGAGUGUUCUUUUCUGUUGCUUGUGUAAACUAAGAGCUGGUUUAAUAGACGCCAGCCAGCCGAGGCCCUCCGCGUCCCCCGGUGACGAGCCUCCCAGGUGCAGGGAGCUGGGCAGAAGGAGCAGAGGACUCAGGAUCUGAAUGUGAGGGCCGGGCCAAGGUGGGUGCCAGGGAUGGGGGACCGGGGGCACAACAGAAUCACGGCUGGCUCUGCCCAGGGCGUGACGUCAUCGCGCCCAGCAUCGCCUCCGCCUGAAACAGUCUGGAGAGAAUUCCACCUUUCCUGUGGUUUGCUGGGUCACCCAGGUCUCGGGGCCCAUGUUUCUCAGAUCCUUGCAACUGCCUGGCCCCACCUCGGUGUGCAUUAUCAUGGCCAAAACUGGUCUCUUUGCAGGCCGUUUGGGGACGAGCCGGCCUUGUGUGUUGUCCUGAUGGGGCGGGGGGUGUUGUUUUUCUAAAAGCUACCUCUUAUGUUCGUCCAGUUCUUUUGUUCCCUUCAUGCCUCCCAUCCUGCUGCUCUGCUCCCCCCGCCUCCUCCCCAGCCUCCCCUCCCUGAAUUUUUGGAAAAGCACAUUUGCAAUAUUUGUGUUCGCUUUGGGACGGGUCUUCCGUUUCAUCUCAUGCUUUAUUUGUAAGAUGUGUGUGUGUUUUUCUUUCCUUUCUCUCUCUGAGAAAGUUGUGGCUGCGUUUUUAUCUUAGGUUUUAAAAAGUGGUAUAGGGAAGCGGUUUGGGGGAGAAGGGUUGUGAGGAAUACAGGGAAGUCGGAGGGAUGGAUGCUGCUGUGACCCCCCUGUCCCUCGGCCCCAUCCCUCCUCCCUCCCCUGCAAUCUCACCCACCAAAUCUGAAGGCCUUAAAAAUUGUGUGUUGGGGGGGGUAUGGACUGGGGAGACUGUGUCGCUAGACUGUUGAUUGGGGGUGAUAACAUAGGGAGGAUGCUAUUUUGCAACUAUAAUAAUGACUUAGUGCUUUGGAAAGGAAAAAGAAGUUAAACUUGAACUACAUGACUAGAGCAGUUGUGUUUAUAAUGUGAAGUGUGGACUCGUUGGGGGAGGGGCAGUCUGUAAGAAAUCUUUGUGCACUAUUGCUGCCCUCCCCCAAUCUGGGAAGAACUGGGGACUGGCUGGCCCUUAGGGGAUCUGUCAAUCCCAGAAAACAGUAUUUGAACAGCAAGAUGUCAUGCAACUUUGGUGGGGGAAGGAAAAAAAAAGGCAAACUAUUCCAUAGACCCAGCUAACACCUCUUCCUCUCCUGCACCCUUCCCAGCCAGCCUGGGUCUCCGCCCCUGUUUGUAAAGGCUGAAAGGGUUGAGCUGAUAUUUACAAAUUGUAAUAUUUUUGUAAUAUUUGUUAGUUCCUUCAUCAGUUCUCCCGGACCUUGCCCUUUCCUUUUGUAAUGUGAAUAGGGAAAAAACAAAAAAACAAAAAAGAUUUAAAAAAAAAAAACAAAAAAAAA